CAGUCGGCCUCCUUCUCUAGCAUCUGGUUCUUCUUCUUUGGCAGGGGCUGGUAGCUAGGGUUUGGGCUCCUGUGUGACAGAAAGUAUUUAUACCCAUAAUGUAUUGAUCUGGAUCAUCCUUCGUGAUCAAUCUCAUUCGUCUGAUCGUGCUUAAGAAGGAAACGAAUCUAGACCGUUCAUCGUGAUUGAUCUCAGUCGUCCGAUCACACCUAAGGGAGAAAUGAAUCCAUAUCAUCCACGCGCAUGGGAUCGAUCCUGGGUCGUCCGAUCGAAAGUCGGCCUCCUUCUCUAGCAUCUGGUUCUUCUCCUUUGGCAGGGGCUGGUAGCUAGGGUUUGGGCUCCUGUGUGACAGAAAGUAUUUAUACCCAUAAUGCAUUGAUCUGGAUCGUCCUUCGUGAUCAAUCUCUUUC
rnacentral:lncRNA from 1 species